AUAGUCCAUGUGACAUCAGCGGUUCCGUUUAUAACCGUAUUGUUAUGGAACGACAAGAAAACAAACAUAAUGACUUUAUUCACCAAUUUCUUCUCUUCCAUGUCAGUUAAUGCACGUUCACGAAAGUACAAUGACAUAUGCGUGUGGUGCUGCUCACACAGGAGCCGGUGUUCUGACGUUGAACCCAGAUGCGCUGCAACUUGUUUGCAAACAGAGGAAUGCACAUGGAUAAACGUAACAUGGAAGAAAAAAAAUUGUAAAAAGACCUACUCAGAGGCGACUCCUGCAGAGGCGAGUGGUGAGAUCUCAGAACAAGUCACACCCAAGGCCGGGCAUACUUGGGAGAACAAAACAGAGAAAGAAGCAGGAAUCAAUUCCUGCAAAUCCCUUAAGGACUGCUGCAAAUCUCUGGUAGGGUCAAUGAGUGCUCAGAGACAAUGUUCAGAGAAAAAAACAGACAUUAAGAGAAGUGGUUCACCCAUAAAAGGGGAAGUUUGCCAGUUUGUAGUUUACUAAUAAAUAUACAACGUUAUUGGGUGAACAAUCUCUUGAAAUGCACUGAAUAAGCGACUCUUGUUACAAACAUGACAUAAUAAAGUCAGUUGAAAACCACCUUUUUUCA
ensembl:lncRNA